AACGGAUAGAUGAUGCGGAAUGGCAGUGGAAUGAGCAAAAACUUGAUAAUCUGUUCGAUGAACAAACAAAGUAGGAGAUUUUAGCCGUCCCUAUUGAUCCCCGUGGAACAAAAGAUGAACUUGUUUGGGUGGGAACCAAAUUGGGAAACUAUUUUGUGAAAAAUGGGUAUAAUAUGCUCA